rnacentral:rRNA from 1 species
GACGAACGCUGGCGGCGUGCUUAACACAUGCAAGUCGAACGGAAAGGCCCUGCUUUUGUGGGGUGCUCGAGUGGCGAACGGGUGAGUAACACGUGAGUAACCUGCCCUUGCCUUUGGGAUAACUUCAGGAAACUGGGGCUAAUACCGGAAAGGAGCUCCUGCUGCAUGGUGGGGGUUGGAAAGUUUCGGCGGUUGGGGUUGGACUCGCGGCUUAUCAGCUUGUUGGUGGGGUAGUGGAUUACCAAGGCUUUGACGGGUAGCCGGCCUGAGAGGGUGACCGGCCACAUUGGGACUGGGGUGCGGCCCGGACUCCUACGGGAGGCAGGAGUGGGGAAUAGUGCACAAUGGGCGGAGGCCUGAUGCAGCAACGCCGCGUGCGGGAUGACGGCCUUCGGGUUGUAAACCGCUUUCGCCUGUGACGAAGCGUGAGUGACGGUAAUGGGUAAAGAAGCACCGGCUAACUACGUG